rnacentral:rRNA from 1 species
GUCGAGCGGAACCAUUGGAGCUUGCUCCUUUGGUUUAGCGGCGGACGGGUGAGUAACACGUGGGCAACCUGCCCUGCAGAUCGGGAUAACUCCGGGAAACCGGUGCUAAUACCGAAUAGUUUGCGGCCUCUCAUGAGGCUGCACGGAAAGACGGUUUCGGCUGUCACUGCAGGAUGGGCCCGCGGCGCAUUAGCUAGUUGGUGGGGUAACGGCCUACCAAGGCGACGAUGCGUAGCCGACCUGAGAGGGUGAUCGGCCACACUGGGACUGAGACACGGCCCAGACUCCUACGGGAGGCAGCAGUAGGGAAUCUUCCGCAAUGGACGAAAGUCUGACGGAGCAACGCCGCGUGAGUGAAGAAGGUUUUCGGAUCGUAAAACUCUGUUGUGAGGGAAGAACAAGUAUCAACUAACUAUUGGUACCUUGACGGUACCUCACCAGAAAGCCACGGCUAACUACGUGCCAGCAGCCGCGGUAAU